rnacentral:rRNA from 1 species
AUUGAACGCUGGCGGCAGGCUUAACACAUGCAAGUCGAGCGGGGGAAGGUAGCUUGCUACCGGACCUAGCGGCGGACGGGUGAGUAAUGCUUAGGAAUCUGCCUAUUAGUGGGGGACAACAUCUCGAAAGGGAUGCUAAUACCGCAUACGUCCUACGGGAGAAAGCAGGGGAUCUUCGGACCUUGCGCUAAUAGAUGAGCCUAAGUCGGAUUAGCUAGUUGGUGGGGUAAAGGCCUACCAAGGCGACGAUCUGUAGCGGGUCUGAGAGGAGGAUCCGCCACACUGGGACUGAGGAACGGCCCAGACUCCUACGGGAGGCAGCAGUGGGGAAUAUUGGACAAUGGGGGGAACCCUGAUCCAGCCAUGCCGCGUGUGUGAAGAAGGCCUUAUGGUUGUAAAGCACUUUAAGCGAGGAGGAGGCUACUCUAGUUAAUACCUAGGGAUAGUGGACGUUACUCGCAGAAUAAGCACCGGCUAACUCUGUGCCAGCCGCCGCCGUAA